AACGUAGGAGACAAACGUUAUCCGGAGUUACUGGGCGUAAAGGGCGUGUAGGUGGUCUCGUAAGUCUGGCGUGAAAUUUCUCGGCUUAACCGAGGCAGGUCGUCGGAUACUGCGAGGCUAGAGGACGGUAGAGGCGUGUGGAAUUCCGGGUGUAGUGGUGAAAUCCGUAGAGAUCCGGAGGAACACCAGUGGCGAAGGCGACACGCUGGGCCGUACCUGACACUGAUGCGCGACAGCAUGGGGAUCAAACAGG
rnacentral:rRNA from 1 species